GGGAUUAAAAGUAACCAGACUCGUCCAGAAAACUGCGUCCUGGAAGGAAGUGACAGGAGACGAAUGGGAAAAGGAGAGCAGCUCACAGCCUUAGAUAGGGAAGACAACACGGGGAGCGGCAGCUCCCUGCCUCUCUCCCCGCCGCUACAGAGGACGCUGGGCUGCUGCGCGCUCGCUCCCCCGGGAGGCUGCAAGCCAGCUAACAGGAAAGUCCUUCUGAAGUCGAGAUCUUCCCUCUGUCCAAUAAGAGCGCGACCCUAAGAGCGGCUCUAGUGACUCCCCCUAACCCCCUCCCUUGGAUUCGCAGUAGCCACUUCAUCCUUGCUCCGGUCCGCGCGCGCCUCCGUUACUCACGCGUAAAAGCCACGAUCCAGGAUGUCUGCAAGCCUCGAUCCCAACGUGCGCUUCCUGCCCGCCCAGAAUGUACAAAGCUUUUGGCCUUGAGAGUCAGGAGGGCUAGGCUAGAAAGUGAGCCGAAAGGAUCCUCCGAUGUUAGUAAUAAAAUAAUUACAAGUUUUUGAAA